GUCAGAUGCUUAGCCGACUGAGCCACCCAGGAGCCCCAAGUCUUUUUCUUCUCAUACAGGCCAUGUCCUGCAAGUCUGUGUUUGGGUUCAUUUUUCUUUGCAUACUCCAAGGAAUCCUAAAUCAUGCCAAAGCCCAUUGCAACAGCACACGUCUGAGCAC